CCUACGGGAGGCAGCAGUGGGGAAUAUUGGACAAUGGGCGAAAGCCUGAUCCAGCCAUGCCGCGUGUGUGAAGAAGGCCUUCGGGUUGUAAAGCACUUUCAGUGGGGAAGAAAGCCUUGGGGCUAAUACCCUCGAGGAAGGACAUCACCCACAGAAGAAGCACCGGCUAACUCCGUGCCAGCAGCCGCGGUAAUACGGAGGGUGCGAGCGUUAAUCGGAAUUACUGGGCGUAAAGCGCGCGUAGGCGGUCUGAUAAGCCGGUUGUGAAAGCCCCGGGCUCAACCUGGGAACGGCAUCCGGAACUGUCAGGCUAGAGGGCAGGAGAGGAAGGUAGAAUUCCCUGUGUAGCGGUGAAAUGCGUAGAGAUCGGGAGGAAUACCAGUGGCGAAGGCGGCCUUCUGGACUGACACUGACGCUGAGGUGCGAAAGCGUGGGUAGCAAACAGGAUUAGAUACCCCGGUAGUC
rnacentral:rRNA from 1 species